rnacentral:rRNA from 1 species
CCUACGGGUGGCAGCAGUGGGGAAUAUUGGACAAUGGGCGCGAGCCUGAACCAGCCACGUCGUGUGAAUGAUGACUUCCCUCCGGAUGGUAAGCUUCUUUUGUAGGGGAGUAAAUUACGGCACGUGUGCCUUUUUGUAUGUACUUUAUGGAUAAAGAUCGGCUAACUCCGUGCCAGGAGCAGCGGUAAUACGGAGGAGCCGAGAGUUAGCCGGCUUUGUUGGGUUUAAAGGGAGCGUAGAUAGGUUGGUAAGUCAGUUGUGAAAGUUUGCGGCUCAACCGUAAAAUGGCAAUUGGUACUGGCAGUCUGGAGUACAGGUGAGGUAGGCGGAAUUCGUGGUGUAGCGGUGAAAUGCUUAGAUAUUACGAAGAACUCCGAUGGCGAAGGCAGCUUACUAAACUGCAACUGACAUUGAUGCUCGAAAGCGUGGGUAUCAAACAGGAUUAGAUACCCCUGUAGUC